GGGGGAUUAGCUCAGUUGGCUAGAGCGCUUGCAUGGCAUGCAAGAGGCCACCAGUUCGAAUCUGGUAUUCUCCACAA
rnacentral:tRNA from 2 species